CCCCUAUCGGGCGCAGCCUGAUCAGCAUGCCGCGUGGGUGAAGAAGGCCUUCGGGUUGUAAAGCCCUUUCGGCGGGGAAGAAAUCGGUCAGGCGAAUAGUCUGGCUGGAUGACGGUACCCGCAGAAGAAGCACCGGCUAACUACGUGCCAGCAGCCGCGGUAAUAA
rnacentral:rRNA from 1 species